rnacentral:tRNA from 1 species
GCCUCGGUGGCGAAAUUGGUAGACGCAAGGGACUUAAAAUCCCUCGCCUUAUGGGUGUGCCGGUUCGACUCCGGCCCGAGGCACCA